rnacentral:lncRNA from 1 species
AUCUUGAAUGCUUCCUGUUAAAUGUACUUUGAACAAAACACCAGUUUUUCCCUCUUAUGUUUCUCCAGACUCUCUGCAAUCAAUAAACACCAUAAAUGUAGGAUUCUUGUGAAAGUGAGAGAGCCUACACAAAAAAUUCCUCUUCAAAACACUGAUAUGAAAUACUGCCUGAGGAGCUUCCCAGGUUUGGCCAAAUCUCCAGGAAGACAGUUUCUACACAGCAAAGUGAGGAAGACUUCAGAGAGGCCUGACUUACAAAGGAGACAGCUGUAAUGUGUCCGAUCUGCAUCCAAAGUGAUAAAGAGAUUAAAGUGGAGAGAUAAGGCCGGGAAUUGACGAUCUGUCUGCCCAAACCCUGAGAAGACAGUGACGGAAAAUACUGUGGCUCAACUGGAACACAUCGAGAGGCGUUUUCUGAUUGCUUUCAAGACUUGGUGAGUGUGAGGUUUAUAUGAGGAGAAAAGGAGUUAUUUAAGUUACAGGAGUUUUCGUCUAGAAUGG